rnacentral:rRNA from 1 species
CCUACGGGUGGCAGCAGUGAGGAAUAUUGGUCAAUGGGAGAGAUCCUGAACCAGCCAAGCCGCGUGAGGGAAGACGGCCCUAUGGGUUGUAAACCUCUUUUGCCGGAGAACAAAACCCGGGACGUGUCCCGGACUGCGUGUAUCCGAAGAAAAAGCAUCGGCUAACACCGUGCCAGCAGCCGCGGUAAUACGGAGGAUGCGAGCGUUAUCCGGAUUUAUGGGGUUAAAGGGGUGCGUAGGCGGUCCGUUAAGUCAGCGGUAAAAUUGCGGGGCUCAACCCCGGCGAGCCGUUGAAACUGGGAGACUUGAGUGGGCGAGAAGUACGCGGAAUGCGCGGUGUAGCGGUGAAAUGCAUAGAUAUUAGGAGGAACACCAGUGGCGAAGGCGGCCUGCUGGGCUUUUACUGACGCUGAGGCUCGAAAGUGUGGGGAGCAAACAGGAUUAGAUACCCCAGUAGUC